CCUACGGGAGGCAGCAGUGGGGAAUAUUGGGCAAUGGGCGCAAGCCUGACCCAGCAACGCCGCGUGAAGGAAGAAGGCUUUCGGGUUGUAAACUUCUUUUCUCAGGGACGAAGAAAGUGACGGUACCUGAGUAAUAAGCCACGGCUAACUACGUGCCAGCAGCCGCGGUAAUACGUAGGUGGCAAGCAUUAUCCGGAUUUAUUGGGUGUAAAGGGUGCGCAGGCGGAGGUGCAAGUCAGCGGUCAAAUUGCGGGGCUCAACCCCGUACUGCCGUUGAAACUGCAUCCCUUGAGUGCGCGAGAAGUAUGCGGAAUGCGUGGUGUAGCGGUGAAAUGCAUAGAUAUCACGCAGAACUCCGAUUGCGAAGGCAGCAUACCGGCGCGCAACUGACGCUCAUGCACGAAAGCGUGGGUAUCGAACAGGAUUAGAUACCCUUGUAGUC
rnacentral:rRNA from 1 species